CCGUCUACUCUUGGCCAGCCUUCUGAAAGGAAGAUUAAUCCAGGAUGGGAUCAUGAGUUCACAUGUCCGCAUGAUUAAAGGUAUUUUCCGGUAGACGAUGGGGAUGCGUUCCAUUAGAUAGUAGGCGGGGUAACGGCCCACCUAGUCAACGAUGGAUAGGGGUUCUGAGAGGAAGGUCCCCCACAUUGGAACUGAGACACGGUCCAAACUCCUACGGGAGGCAGCAGUGAGGAAUAUUGGUCAAUGGGCGAUGGCCUGAACCAGCCAAGUAGCGUGAAGGAUGACUGCCCUAUGGGUUGUAAACUUCUUUUAUAAAGGAAUAAAGUCGGGUAUGCAUACCCGUUUGCAUGUACUUUAUGAAUAAGGAUCGGCUAACUCCGUGCCAGCAGCCGCGGUAAUACGGAGGAUCCGAGCGUUAUCCGGAUUUAUUGGGUUUAAAGGGAGCGUAGAUGGAUGUUUAAGUCAGUUGUGAAAGUUUGCGGCUCAACCGUAAAAUUGCAGUUGAUACUGGAUGUCUUGAGUGCAGUUGAGGCAGGCGGAAUUCGUGGUGUAGCGGUGAAAUGCUUAGAUAUCACGAAGAACUCCGAUUGCGAAGGCAGCCUGCUAAGCUGCAACUGACAUUGAGGCUCGAAAGUGUGGGUAUCAAACAGGAUUAGAUACCCUGGUAGUCCACACGGUAAACGAUGAAUACUCGCUGUUUGCGAUAUACGGCAAGCGGCC
rnacentral:rRNA from 1 species